GUGGGUGCACAACGGGAGGCUUGGGCUUGAAUGGAGGAUGAACAAUUGGAGGCUUGGGCUUGAAUGGAGGAUGUACAACUGGUGGCUUGGGAUGGAAUGGAGGAUGCACAACUGGUGGCUUGGGGUGGAAUGGAGGAUGCACAAAUGGAGGCUUGGGAUGGAACGGAGGAUGCACAAAUGGAGGCUUGGGGUGGAACGGAGGAUGCACAAAUGGAGGCUUGGGAUGGAACGGAGGAUGCACAAUGGGAGGCUUGGGAGUGAAAGGUGGCUUAACUAUGGGAGGUUUCGGUGGUGGCUUUAUAAUGGGAGGUUUUGGAGUGAAAGGUGGCUUAACUACGGGAGGUUUCGGUGGCGGCUUUACAAUGGGAGGCUUGGGAGUGAAAGGUGGCUUAACUAUUGGAGGUUUCGGUGGUGGCUUUACAAUAGGAGGUAGCACACGUGGUGGCGGUUUUACGACGGGAGGUUUGGGGGAGGGAUAGUGUGGUGGCUUAACUACGGGAGGUUUCGGUGGCGGCUUAACUACGGGAGGUUUCGGUGGCGGCUUUACAAUGGGAGGCUUGGGAAUGAAAGGUGGCUUAACUAUUGGAGGUUUCGGUGGCGGCUUUACAAUAGGAGGUAGCACAUGUGGUGGCGGUUUUACGACGGGAG
rnacentral:lncRNA from 1 species